rnacentral:rRNA from 1 species
CGCCCUUAGAGUUUGAUCAUGGCUCAGAUUGAACGCUGGCGGCAGGCCUAACACAUGCAAGUCGGACGGUAAGAGAGCUUGCUCUCGACGAGUGGCGGACGGGUGAGUAAUGUCUGGGAAACUGCCCGAUGGAGGGGGAUAACUACUGGAAACGGUAGCUAAUACCGCAUAACGUCGCAAGACCAAAGUGGUUCGUCACACCAUCGGAUGUGCCCAGAUGGGAUUAGCUAGUAGGUGGGGUAACGGCUCACCUAGGCGACGAUCCCUAGCUGGUCUGAGAGGAUGACCAGCCACACUGGAACUGAGACACGGUCCAGACUCCUACGGGAGGCAGCAGUGGGGAAUAUUGCACAAUGGGCGCAAGCCUGAUGCAGCCAUGCCGCGUGUAUGAAGAAGGCCUUCGGGUUGUAAAGUACUUUCAGCGGGGAGGAAGGGGGCGAAGUAAUCUUCGUUCUUGACGUUACCCGCAGAAGAAGCACCGGCUAACUCCGUGCCAGCAGCCGCGGUAAUACGGAGGGUGCAAGCGUUAAUCGGAAUUACUGGGCGUAAAGCGCACGCAGCGGUCUGUUAGUCAGAU